UAUACGAAAUGCUGUACACGUACAAAGGGCUCAUUUGACAGACACAAGUCUGGAGAUCUGCGUGCUGAAUUCAGAAGGCCCCGCUGCUAAGCAUUAGGUUCUGAUGGCAAGCUGGGUCUCUUUUAUGAUGACGAUACAGUCAUUAGUGGCCCUUAUAUUUGUAACGCAUGUCGAGUGCCUCCAGCAAGAAGUCAUGUGCCCAGUGAAGCACCGGCGAAAUGAGUGCGUCUUUUUCGGGCAUCAAGUUGCCGCUGGUGAGACCAAACGCUUGAGGAACCCGUGUGUACUAAUUUCUUGCACCAGACAAGCUCUGGGAGUGAUUAUAUCAGGAUGCCCACACCAUGGUGUACCAAACGAGCGCAUUCCCGGAAGAGCUGCACAGAAUGACGGUUCUUGGCCGCAUUGUUGUGAUAGAUGUCGCCG